GCCCAGCCAGUAUGGGGGUUAUGACCCUCGGCUUAUAACCGAGUAGGUUCGGGAUCGAAUCCCGAGUAAGACA